AUAAGUCGGACGAUUCUUGCUUUAUAGUUCAUCUUCCGUCUGAGGUAGUUCCACAUCAAUAUUGAAUAAUUUCGUUACGAAUUCAAAUAGAAACAUUAAAUGGUAAAGCAAAGCAUAUACCAGUGAGGUAAUUAUAAUCAACAUAAUGACGAGAUGAGAAGAAUAUGGAUUGGAAAAGCCAGUUAACUGGAUCUGCAGUUGCUCAGAUGUCAACCAAUUAACGGUGUCUAUGAAUACUUUAAGGAAUUGUAUCUUGGAGAUUGCACAGAAUUUACGGAGGAAAAAUCCCACUUCAUAACAAAAAUUCUUUUGAUAAACAAGAAGACGUGCGAGGAAGAGUCAGCAAAGAAUGCAAAAUAACAAGACGGGAAAGAAAUAGUAAGACGGGAAAAAGAAGUCUAUCUCCAAGCACAUGUGACUCUAGUUGAGGAUAACCCUGUCAGAAGUGCUGGUGCAGAGUCUGUCUCAAUUUUCUCCUCAAGUAGGUAAAGGUUGAGACAGUAGCGGAAGUAGAGGAAAUUGCAAUAAAACCGGUUUUGAAAUUCUCGAACACGGAAUAAGCUAAUCAGGUUACGGUCAGUAAUGCAAUCCGACGCAUGCAGCAAUGUUUCAACAAAUACGAAAGUCAAAUGUCUCUUGGCCCAAUGUUUCAGGCCAAAAUGGAAGGCAAUAAUAUGUUAAGUGACCUUAACAAUGCCAAUAACCAAAGGUCAGUGAUACUGAUGUAUGCGGGUACGGAAAGUUUUUGAAGAGAGUGGAGAAUUCCGUCUUAUCCAAAAAAUUAAUUGUCAAGCAUAACAACCGGGAGAAACUUGGAGAACAGCAAAAGAACAACACACAGUAAUGCACAAUACCGGACGUUUAAUGUAUAUAUAUAUAUAUAUAUUAUUUUUCUUUCUUUGUUAUUACUUUCUAAGACCACCAAUUGGUUCUCUGUGUGUGUCGCCUAUCUCUACUAUGAUCUUUUUCCUUUUCUUAAAUUCUCGUUUUCCUUCUGUUCUUCUUCCUACGAUUUAGGGCUGAACGCUCUAGAAAGAGAAUUGACGAGUUCUCGUAAAUGUAUUUCUCGUAAAAAAAUCAUGCAUUUCUAUGAGCAACUCGCAUUUUAAUUUAUAAAUUCUUACAGAAGAUGGCGCUGUUGUCCCUCUGUAUGUGUAUGUGACAAGUGAACUUUGACAAGUGAAAUCCGUGUCUAUAUUUUUAGUUAACUGUGUUACAUUCCAAUGAAAAGUUUGAUCAAAUCUAAUGGUGUGGUUCCUACUUUUGAGAGUUUGUUCUUCUGUGUGCUUUUCAAGUGAAGCACAUUAAAUGGAUUAAUUUUGUGCAAAGAUUAAUCAGGUGGUCACUACAGCUAUGUUAGCUGUCACAGCCAAAAACUUCUGCAACUUAUUACUUUGCUAUCAUCAUGCUUUUCAAUUGUUUGUUGAUAGAAGUAGCUCGUAAAACCAAAAUUGCAAAGGAUGCUGACGGUGAAGGAAGGUUUCAAAUGGCACAAAUCCUAUGGGUUGGAAUGCCAUAAUUUCUUUGUGCUACUCUUUGUCCUUUCAUCAUGUUCCGUCAGUUCUGGUCUGAUAAAUGCUCCAUAUGUUGUGCUACAAACCAUUAACCUUCACCAUUUUGGCAGUCUUGUCAUUUCUACUGAAAGGUUCAAGUGACAGGAUUUUGUGUUGAGGACUUCUGCAAUUAAAAGUGCAAAGAAUGCUGGCCCUGAAGGAUGGUCACCAACGAUUCAAAAUUGAUGGAUUGGAAAACAUCAUGACAUUCUUAUGCUCUUGGCCUACUCAUUGUUUCAUCCAACACACGUGUUCGCCUCGCCCCGUCUUCGCUUUGUCUGUCGCCCUUCUUCGCCUUGUCCGUCGCCUCGUUUUCGCCUCGCCCGUCUUCGCCUUGUCCGUCGCCUCGUUUUCGCCUCGCCCGUCUUCGCCUUGUCCGUCGCCCCGUUUUCGCCUCGCCCGUCGCCCCGUUUUCGCCUCGCCCGUCGCCCCGUCUUCGCUUCGCCCGUCGCUCCGUCUUCACCUCGUGGUCGCCCCGUCAUCUCCUCGUCUUUGUGGUAUCGUUGUAUUUUGUAGUGUGUAAUUGUGUAAUGUUAAUUAACCCGUUGGCUGCCACCCACUUUGAUCCCCUUUUUUUUAAAGCUUGUUAGGGUCCGGCAGCGCUGUUCUGCCCAAUGGUCUAUAUGCCAUGGGUGGGACAGUUGCACAAGCCGUGUGGCUCAAAGUCGAUCGUCGAGGCAAUGUACCAGUAGGGACUUUCCCUUUUUCGAUGCUUUGAUGGUUGCCUGGAGUGUACAUUCUCACAAAGGCUUCUGUCAUCGUGUCAGCCCGGAUUUGUCGUAGGACAAGUCCCCCUUGGUCGCUAUCCAUUCGAUAGCGAUGUAGCUAGCGUAGGUUUAGUGGCGUGGCAGCCAACGGGUUAGUUUUAUGUAUGUGUGUUUUGUAUUGUAUUGUAUUUAAAAUCAAAAAUCUUGUGGUGGAUUUGUGGGUGGAUGGAGGGACAAUAAAGAAUUUUACAUA